rnacentral:misc_RNA from 1 species
UCCGGUUUGACACCGGCAGUCCCGCUAGAGUCCUCGCCAUGACGCGUUAGCAACUAGCGGCAGGGGUUUCGCUCGUUAAGGGACUUAACCCGACACUUCACAGCACGAGCUGACGACAGCCAUGCAGCACCUGUGCACGUUCCACCCUUGCGGGCGUGGCUCCCCUUUCAGGGAGUUAAUCCGUGCAUGUCAAGCCCAGGAUAAGGUUCUUCGCGUUGCUUCGAAUUAAGCCACAUGCUCCACCGCUUGUGUGAGCCCCCGUCAAUUCCUUUGAGUUUUAGCCUUGCGACCGUACUCCCCAGGCGGCACACUUAUCGUUUUUACUUCGACACCGGGGGCGUCAGAGCCUCCAGUAUCUAGUGUGCAUCGUUUACGGCGUGGACUAC